AUUGAACGCUGGCGGCAGGCUUAACCCAUGCAAGUCGAGCGGGGGAGGUUGCUUCGGUAACUGACCUAGCGGCGGACGGGUGAGUAAUGCUUAGGAAUCUGCCUAUUAGUGGGGGACAACAUUCCGAAAGGGAUGCUAAUACCGCAUACGUCCUACGGGGGAAGCAGGGGAUCUUCGGACCUUGCGCUAAUAGAUGAGCCUAAGUCGGAUUAGCUAGUUGGUGGGGUAAAGGCCUACCAAGGCGACGAUCUGUAGCGGGUCUGAGAGGAUGAUCCGCCACACUGGGACUGAGACACGGCCCAGACUCCUACGGGAGGCAGCAGUGGGGAAUAUUGGACAAUGGGCGGAAGCCUGAUCUAGCCAUGCCGCGUGUGUGAAGAAAGCCUUUUGGUUGUAAAGCACUUUAGGCGGGGAGGAGGCUCUUAAGGUUAAUACCCUUGAUGAGUGGACGUUACUCGCAGAAUAAGCACCGGCUAACUCUGUGCCAGCCGCCGCGGUAAAAC
rnacentral:rRNA from 1 species